rnacentral:rRNA from 1 species
GUAGGUGGCAAGCGUUGUCCGGAAUUAUUGGGCGUAAAGCGCGCGCAGGCGGUUCUUUAAGUCUGAUGCGAAAGCCCACGGCUCAACCGUGGAGGGUCAUUGGAAACUGGAGAACUUGAGUACAGAAGAGGAAAGCGGAAUUCCACGUGUAGCGGUGAAAUGCGUAGAGAUGUGGAGGAACACCAGUGGCGAAGGCGGCUUUCUGGUCUGUAACUGACGCUGAGGCGCGAAAGCGUGGGGAGCAAACAGGAUUAGAUACCCUGGUAGUCCACGCCGUAAACGAUGAGUGCUAAGUGUUAGGGGGGUUUUACCGCCCCCCUUAGUGCUGCAGCUAACGCAUUAAGCACUCCGCCUGGGAGUACGGCCGCAAGGCUG